CCCUUUUGUAUCUUUUUGCAUCCCCAAUGUUUAGCACAGGUCCUGACACACAGGAGGUGCUUGAUCAAUAUUGAGUAACUGAUUGACUGGCUGGUAGUAGGUGAACACCUUGUAGGAGGCAGAAAAUAGAGAGCUGGCAGGAGACUUGGAGUCAGCUGCUCACUCUGACCUAUAUUGACUGUGUGACUCUGGAUCUACAGCAAUCAGCUAAUCCAUCUCCUUCAUUCUACACUCAAGGACCUUGAGACUCCAUGUUCAAUGACUUGUCCAAAUUCACACUGAUAAUAGAUAAUCAAGACAGCAAUCUUUCCAUUGCACCCUAACAACAUUGUUUUGGUAUCUGAGAGGAAGCAGCAGUCAGAUUUGCAAGUGCAGCACAUAAUCCCAAUUCUGACCUGAUCUCCCUCUCCCAGUUCACACUUAACUGGCAGGCUGGGGCCCCAGAGAAUGAUUACUAUGCCCCAGGAUUAUCAGGUUAGUCAUUCUUGAGGGGCGUGGGGUGGGG
rnacentral:lncRNA from 1 species